GCUCGUUGUGUCGCUGUAACGUGUUGGACUUCUAAUCCAAAAAUUGUGGGUUCGAAUCCCACCUGAAAUG